UCUAAAACAGCGAAUCCCUGAGCGCACAAGUUUCAAUUCUUCGUUUUCGGAUCGCGUUGCUUUAUUUCGAAUUCGGCGCGUGCACAAUCCGGCUAUAAUUAACGCUGCUUCGUUAGGUCGCCUCGCCUGAUCGUGGAGAAGAUCGUGGAAGUGAGAGAAGACGAGGAAACGAAGACGAUGUUUCCGUUGAAAAAUUGCGUCGUUUUGUUUUUCUUCUUCUUCUUCUUCUUUUUUAAGAUUGAUUGGAUUUGUUUAUUUUUGUAGAUGGUAUUGGUUUUGUUGUAAAAUUGGAUUGAUUAAUGGGGGAGUUGCUUUUAUUAUCGUGAUAAUAUUAAAAUAAGUUGAAAGGGGAUGGAGAUGUAAGAGAUUAUUGAAAUUAGAAGAUCUUUAAAUUGAAGUGAAAUGAAAAGUUUGGUGAAAUGGUGGCUGAAGAAUAUUAUUCUUCAGCUCGUCAAUUGUUUUUGGACUAUAUUAAGAUUGCAAGACUAUAUUAAGUGCUAACUAAUUAAAGGUCUUCCAUCGUGAUACCAAGUUAAAGCGGGCAUAGGAUUCCCUUUUGCUUCGCAUUCGAGUUUCACCCUUUGACCUGCUCUUCCCAUGGCAUUCGAAAGAGGUGUGACAAAAUAUGGUUUCUCCGAAGUGAAUUCCGCAGCUAUAAGUAAAACAAUAAAGUGAAUCUUGCUUCUGAAUAUACAAUUUUUUCUUCAAACAUUAUUAUUCAGCAAUAAAAUGUAUAAUUCCUCACGUUCAACGUCGAGAAAAGCGGAAGUGGAGGCUUGGCCCAAUCUAUUCGUGGCCUUGCAAGUGUAAGUAGCUUUGUCUUCUAAGAAAACUUCCUCGAAUUUUAACACAGCCUCGCCAUUAUUGUAAGUGAUAACGUAAUCGGGAGAAUUAUCGAUGUUCACGUCGUUCUUGAACCAUUGGACAGUUGGCAGUGGAUUACCUUCGACGAUGCAGUCCAAUCGAUGAGAAGAAUUUUCUAAAGCCACUGAGGCCAUCAAUUCUUUCACGAAAACUGGAGGACUCGGUUGCUCUUCCGGUGCAGUUUCUAAAAAUCAAAUUUUAUAAAACGAUGAUAAAUAUGUAAUACUAAAAAUCAGCAAAUGAAAAUUAAUUUUAGAUUAAAAUUAAUCCCUGAAAAAAAUUGUAACAUAGCUUAAAUUUAGAAAAAUAAAUUAAAAUGAAACA